rnacentral:rRNA from 1 species
AUUGAACGCUAGCGGGAUGCCUUACACAUGCAAGUCGAACGGCAGCGCGGACUUCGGUCUGGCGGCGAGUGGCGAACGGGUGAGUAAUGUAUCAGAACGUGCCCAGUAGCGGGGGAUAACUACUCGAAAGAGUAGCUAAUACCGCAUACGCCCUACGGGGGAAAAGGGGGGAUCGCAAGACCUCUCACUAUUGGAGCGGCCGAUAUCGGAUUAGCUAGUUGGUGAGGUAAAGGCUCACCAAGGCGACGAUCCGUAGCUGGUUUGAGAGGACGACCAGCCACACUGGGACUGAGACACGGCCCAGACUCCUACGGGAGGCAGCAGUGGGGAAUUUUGGACAAUGGGGGCAACCCUGAUCCAGCCAUUCCGCGUGUGCGAUGAAGGCCUUCGGGUUGUAAAGCACUUUUGGCAGGAAAGAAAUCGCACGGAUUAAUACUCUGUGUGGAUGACGGUACCUGCAGAAUAAGCACCGGCUAACUACGUGCCAGCCGCCGCAGUAA